AUAUUGUUGAUGUAUAUAUAUAUAAAGCAAACUCAAACUCAGACUUGCACCCAAUACCAUCCAAGUAACCAAAUCGCCACCACCUGCACCACCCCCUCCACUUUUGGCGUUGAUUUUCUGUUUAGCCAAGCAGUGUUUCAUUUACGUUUUGGUAGCGCGUUUUUAUGUGUAGCCCCCACAGUUAGACAUCAAAUCAACGACAAGCAGCAACCACAUUAACAGCAACUGCAGCAGCAACAACAACGGGCACAUCUAACGCUGCAGCUAACAGAUGAGCCCCAACAACAGAUGUCAAUUGCUGCAGCCGAAAAUGCAGGGCUUAGCCCAGGUGACUUACCAGAUCAUUGGGCCUCAGGUACAGCAACAACAAAAGGAACAGCCGCAGCAGCUCACGCAAGCAACAACAAGCACAACAGCAACA